rnacentral:sRNA from 1 species
UCGACUCGAGCGACGCGAGAGAACGUUGCGUCAGCAACGGCCCGCAGGGCGAGCCACGCAGUGGCGAGUCAUCCUCUCCUGGCCUGCU